UACGUAGGGUGCGAGCGUUGUCCGGAAUUAUUGGGCGUAAAGAGCUCGUAGGCGGUCUGUCGCGUCUGCUGUGAAAACUCAGGGCUUAACCCUGAGCUUGCAGUGGGUACGGGCAGACUAGAGUGCGGUAGGGGAGACUGGAAUUCCUGGUGUAGCGGUGAAAUGCGCAGAUAUCAGGAGGAACACCGGUGGCGAAGGCGGGUCUCUGGGCCACUACUGACACUGAGAGACGAAAGCUAGGGGAGCGAAUGGG
rnacentral:rRNA from 1 species